UUGAAAUGAACAAAGACUGAAUUUUACAAUUAAUCAAAUAUAAAAAUGACAAAAAGUGAUAUGCACUCAUGAUGCCUGCAAAAGUCCUAAUCCUCAACAAACCAUAAACUCUUCAAUGCACUUUUCAGUGCAUGCUUGUAAAGUAAAAGGAAGAACAUGGUUUUUACAAAUAUAAAUGUGAGUUUUGGGUGCUAUGCGUACUCGUUAACAAUGCCCCAAAACAAAAUCCAGUACAACCAAUUGAUUUCAGUGUAGAGCCGGCGUGUAUAUUAGCAUCAAUUCGAUUAUCUUGAGGGCUUACUCUUGAGGAGCUGCAGAAGUCCAUUGUUCAGACCGGCUGAACAGUACGUGGGGUGGAAAACUAUCACCCUGAAAGCAAUAUGCCUAAGGUGGAAAGUAGUGGUGGCAGACAAACAUUCUGUGAGGAUGUUUUUAUUCAUCAGAGGAAGGGGAGCAAGUCAGAAUGACGGUGUUGUCAUUAUGAUUACUAGUCGUGGUGUCAACAUCGUCAUCUAUCAACCAGUGGAAGGGAUCAGAAGAGAUGCGGAUUGAUUCCUUCUUCUUCUUGGAAAGAUAUCGACCAUCUGCGUUGAAGUCCCCCAAUAUCAUGAUGUUCUGGCAAGAACAAUAACAAUAAAAGUCAAAAUCA